rnacentral:rRNA from 1 species
UACGUAUGGUGCAAGCGUUGUCCGGAUUUACUGGGUGUAAAGGGAGCGCAGGCGGCACGGCAAGCCUGAUGUGAAAGCCCGCGGCCCAACCGCGGGACUGCAUUGGGAACUACCGGGCUGGAGUGCUGGAGAGGUAGGCGGAAUUCCUAGUGUAGCGGUGAAAUGCGUAGAUAUUAGGAGGAACACCAGUGGCGAAGGCGGCCUACUGGACGGUGACUGACGCUGAGGCUCGAAAGCGUGGGGAGCAAACAGG